rnacentral:rRNA from 1 species
AUUGAACGCUGGCGGCAGGCCUAACACAUGCAAGUCGAGCGGUUGAGGUAGCUUGCUACCGAUGCAGCGGCGAACGGGUGAGUAAUACAUGGGAAUCUGCCUGGUAGUGGGGGACAACGUUUCGAAAGGAACGCUAAUACCGCAUACGCCCUACGGGGGAAAGGGGGGGAGUCGCAAGACCUCCCGCUAUCAGAUGAGCC